rnacentral:lncRNA from 1 species
GCUUUGCGACCCUCACUCACUCGGCAACAAUCAAGGGGGAGCACAUGGAAAGAAGAUGCUUUUACAAAGCCACAGACCUGGGUGUGAGUCCAGCUCUGCAGUGUAAAGUUCAUUGGGAAUACUCAGACAUUCUCCAGGCUGCAGCAAUCCAGAGAAGCCAAAUCCCACCAAAUUCCAUCCUGUCUUUGGGGCAACUUUGCCAUGCCACCACCCUCUGAACCCAGCCUGGACUCGUCUGUCCCCCACUCCACC